CACCAACCAAAGUGAGGCUUUCACAUUCAGCCAAUCAGAGAGAAGCUCGCUUGUUUCCUGCUGAUUCCUGUUGAACAGGUUGCUGAAAGUGGCGGUUGAUGUACAAUUAUCCUCGCUUUUUUAUCAAAAAAGGUAACUUUAUCUUUAAAUAUUAACUAUUUUUUGUAUUUUUAUUGUUAUCUGAGUGGGGGAAAUAAUAUUUUCUGAUAAUUAUGCCAAAAAAUUGUCAGUACAUGACUAAAUGUGGAUUUUUGGUCAUUGCCCCCCCCUUCCUUCUAUGUUCAUUGCAUGUGGUUGUUGUGCAAAUGUAAAAGUUAUGGUGAAUUGUUAUUAAGUUUUGUAUUUUUUGUGAGUAUUUCGUGAUUUUCAUCAGUGAUAGUAUUGUAGGUUAUGAUUUUUUGUGCAAUAAAUUGUUCUAUCGUUAAUGGGUAAUUGAGAACAAAAGCAUUGUCCGUCAUUGAUUUUUUAGGUUAACUUUGCAACAAAAUUUUGAUAUUUGUCGCAAUUUUAUGUCCUAUGUGGUUGAUAUUAUAUAAAAUACAUGUGUUUUCCCAAAUUUUGAGACAUUUUCAAGAACAAAAGGUAAUGUCAAGGUAAUUGACAUUAAGCUCGAAAUGUCGAUGUUCGUCAGGCAAUGCUUUGCUUUCAUGCUUCGCAAAAUUGUACAAAAACAAAAGUGAUCAUUAUACUUUUCUAAAAUGGCAUCGAGCAGACAAAUUUAAUAAAAAAUAAUGUUUAUUUUCUCAGCUUCCUCGUUUUCUGUUUGGUGGAUAUUCUGGAUAGAUGAAAUAAUUUCGUCAGUCCUCAAUUGCAGGGGAUAAUUGGCAGUUAUGCUUUCUCCAUUGAUGUUUAAUCCAAACGAGAAAAUGGCACAAUGAUCUUUUUUGCAAUGCGAAUAAAUAAGUUGUAGGUUAUUUAAAACUCGGUCUAUUCGAAGAAUUACUUUUCAAAUUUUCACAAUGGUUUGAAAAGUAAUCUAAGAGUAGGGAUCUCCGGGGAUUAAAUGGCUUAAAAAAAGGAUCUCAUAGACAUAGCGAAUUCGCUAUUAUGUGCCAUUUGAGAGAAAACGGGAGUAAAAAUCCCACUUUAUAGAAGCUUAUAAAAAAUUGUUAUGUUUCGAGUCAGUGCGGAUUUUGUAUAACUUAAAUUUAAAAUCAGUGUUUAUUUAAAUAUAAAAUGAUAACAAAAAUUGUUGUUUUGAAUCAGUGCGUGUUUGUAUAAUUUAAAUUAAUUAAAAUCAGUGUGUGGACGUGAGUGUUAAUAUAUAAAAUAAUAAAAAAAUUCUUUUAUUUCGAGUCAGUGCGCGUUUGUAUAACUUAAAUUUAAUUAAAAUCAGUGUGUGUGUGUGUUAAUAUAUAAAAGAAUAAAAUAAUUAUUUUAUUUCGAGUCAGUGCGCGUUUGUAUAACUUAAAUUUAAUUAAAAAAUCAGUGCGUGUGUGUGUUCAAAUAUAAAAAGAUAAAUAAAAAUUUUAUGUUUCGAGUCAGUGCGCGUUUAUAUAACUUAAAUUUAAAAACAGUGUGUUUGUGUGAUAAAAUAUUCGGAACGAUUCAAAUAGUAUGGAGAACUGGAAAAAGUGGAGGAACUAGAGAAGCAGUUCACCCAGCAUCCCUUCAAAAUUUUAUACCAGCAAUAAUAUUUGUAAGUCCCUCCUGUUCUCCAAAGUAUUGUGGCGGAAACAGGUUGUAAUAAUUUGGAAAAUUUUCAUAGUGAUCGCUAAUUAAAUUGAUUGAUAUUUUUAAUUAAAAAUUAACUAAUCGA